rnacentral:rRNA from 1 species
GUCUCUNUGAUAUGUAUUGUAUAAGGAGUUAGGCCUGCCCGGUGGUGAGUUUUACUAAACGGCCGCGGUAUUUUGACCGUGCGAAGGUAGCAUAAUCAUUUGUUUUAUAAUUGAAGACUGGUAUGAAGGGUUUGACAAGAGCAACGCUGUCUUGGAUUGAUUUUUUAGAAUUUAACUUUUAAGUGAGGAGGCUUAAAUUUGAUUAAUAGACAAGAAGACCCUAUCGAGCUUAAAGGAAUUAAUGAGUUUAAGAGUAUUAUGUGUAAUUGGUAUUUGUUGUUAAGGUAUUUUAGUUGGGGUGACUAAGGAACAUGAGUAGCUUCUUUAUUAGUUUUUACGAGUUAUAGCUUUUGAUUUAUUUUUAUUGAUGCUAGAUUUAGUUACCGUAGGGAUAACAGCAUAAUUCUUUUUGAGAGUUCAUAUCGAAAAAAGGGUUUGUGACCUCGAUGUUGGAUUAAAACUUCCUAGGGGUGUAGGGGUUCCUAAGGGUUAGUCUGUUCGACUAUUAAAGUUUU